GGAAUAUUGGACAAUGGGGGCAACCCUGAUCCAGCAAUGCCGCGUGAGUGAAGAAGGCCUUCGGGUUGUAAAGCUCUUUUGCCCGGGAAGAUAAUGACUGUACCGGGAGAAUAAGCCCCGGCUAACUCCGUGCCAGCAGCCGCGGUAAUACGGAGGGGGCUAGCGUUGUUCGGAAUUACUGGGCGUAAAGCGCACGUAGGCGGUCACUCAAGUCAGAGGUGAAAGCCCAGGGCUCAACCCUGGAAUUGCCUUUGAAACUAGGUGACUUGAACACGGGAGAGGUGAGUGGAAUUCCGAGUGUAGAGGUGAAAUUCGUAGAUAUUCGGAAGAACACCAGUGGCGAAGGCGGCUCACUGGACCGUUGUUGACGCUGAGGUGCGAAAGCGUGGGGAGCAAAC
rnacentral:rRNA from 1 species